CCCUAUGGGGUGCAGCAGUCAGUGGCAGGACGCAGUACUUUGAAUGGAAACACUGCAGGUAUGACGGGACUCCUUUUGAUGCCGAGGUGAGCCUGAGCCGCAUAGAUAUUUAUGGCGAAAAGAUCAUACAGACUAUCAUCAGGGACAUAUCUGAGCGCAAGAAAGUGGAGGAAAAACUUGCAAGGCUCAUGCGGGAGCAGCAGAUCAUUCUUGAUACUGCCCCUGUAGGCAUUUCCCUGAUCGCAGACAGGAAAGAAAUAUGGAUGAACAGGAAGACGGAGGAACUGUUUCAGUAUUCCAGGGAUGAAAUGAAUGACCGGGUCACAGGGAAUUUAUAUCCUUCACAGGAAGAAUAUGAAAAACUGGGAAAUGACGCUGAUCCGGUUCUUGGCGGGGGGGC
rnacentral:rRNA from 1 species